CCUACGGGGGACUGCAGUGAGGAAUAUUGGGCAAUGGGCGCAAGCCUGACCCAGCAACGCCGCGUGAAGGAAGAAGGCCCUCGGGUUGUAAACUUCUUUUAUCAGGGACGCAACAAAUGACGGUACCUGAUGAAUAAGCCACGGCUAACUACGUGCCAGCAGCCGCGGUAAUACGUAGGUGGCAAGCGUUAUCCGGAUUUACUGGGUGUAAAGGGCGUGUAGGCGGGAGAGCAAGUCAGACGUGAAAUUCCAGGGCACAACCCUGGAACGGCGUUUGAAACUGUUCUUCUUGAGUGAUGGAGAGGCAGGCGGAAUUCCGUGUGUAGCGGUGAAAUGCGUAGAUAUACGGAGGAACACCAGUGGCGAAGGCGGCCUGCUGGACAUUAACUGACGCUGAGGCGCGAAAGCGUGGGGAGCAAACAGGAUUAGAUACCCUUGUAGUC
rnacentral:rRNA from 1 species